GCAGUCGAGCGAGCAUCUUGCGGAACCUUCGGGUGGAAGCAAGAUUGACUGAGCGGCGGACGGGUGAGUAACGCGUGGGUGACCUGCCUCAUACAGGGGGAUAACAGUUAGAAAUGACUACUAAUACCGCAUAAGCGCACAGUGCUGCAUGGCACAGUGUGAAAAACUCCGGUGGUAUGAGAUGGACCCGCGUCUGAUUAGGUAGUUGGUGGGGUAACGGCCCACCAAGCCGACGAUCAGUAGCCGACCUGAGAGGGUGACCGGCCACAUUGGGACUGAGACACGGCCCAAACUCCUACGGGAGGCAGCAGUGGGGAAUAUUGGACAAUGGGGGAAACCCUGAUCCAGCGACGCCGCGUGACUGAAGAAGUAUUUCGGUAUGUAAAGGUCUAUCAGCAGGGAAGAAAAUGACGGUACCUGACUAAGAAGCCCCGGCUAACUACGUGCCAGCAGCCGCGGUAAUACGUAGGGGGCAAGCGUUAUCCGGAUUUACUGGGUGUAAAGGGAGCGUAGACGGCGAUGCAAGUCUGGAGUGAAAGCCCGGGGCUCAACCCCGGGACUGCUUUGGAAACUGUGUUGCUAGAGUGCAGGAGAGGUAAGUGGAAUUCCUAGUGUAGCGGUGAAAUGCGUAGAUAUUAGGAGGAACACCAGUGGCGAAGGCGGCUUACUGGACUGUAACUGACGUUGAGGCUCGAAAGCGUGGGGAGCAAACAGGAUUAGAUACCCUGGUAGUCCGCGCCGUAAACGAUGAAUACUAGGUGUUGGGGAGCAAAGCUCUUCGGUGCCGUCGCAAACGCAGUAAGUAUUCCACCUGGGGAGUACGUUCGAAGCC
rnacentral:rRNA from 1 species